rnacentral:rRNA from 1 species
UCCAGUGACGAUAGCUAAGGGGUUCCACCUGUUCCCAUACCGAACACAGCAGUUAAGCCCUUAUACGUCGAAAGUACUUGGUUGGAAACGGCCUGGGAGGAUAGAUAGUUGCUGGUUA